rnacentral:rRNA from 1 species
CAGCCGCCACGGUAAUACGAAGGGUGCAAGCGUUACUCGGAAUUACUGGGCGUAAAGCGUGCGUAGGUGGUGGUUUAAGUCCGUUGUGAAAGCCCUGGGCUCAACCUGGGAAUUGCAGUGGAUACUGGGUCACUAGAGUGUGGUAGAGGAUAGUGGAAUUUCCGGUGUAGCAGUGAAAUGCGUAGAGAUCGGAAGGAACAUCUGUGGCGAAGGCGACUAUCUGGGCCAACACUGACACUGAGGCACGAAAGCGUGGGGAGCAAACAGGAUUAGAUACCCCAGUAGUCCCUGUCUCUUAUAA